AAAGAUAACCUCCCCCCUUUCCCUACCCAGCCACGAAGAGCUCUCCUCUAACACCCCAUGCCCCAUUACCGCUUCAAUUUCAUACUUCUCACUCACAAUCUGCUGCCACCACUAGUCUUUUUUUGUUCGUCUUCGAACUUGCUAUUUCUCUUCCGCCUCCACCCUCUCGUGGCGCGGCUAUUCGUGUUGCCUCAUUCCAGAGAUUUUCACAAGUUCUUAAUGGUAUGAACCCUAACUUGUCUAAUUGAACUUGUAGGAGACGAGUUUGCUUGACGAUUUUGAUUUCAAAUAUUACCUUGAGGCUAAAGGUGAAAUAACUGACAGCUAUAUAUUAAGCUCAUUAUGGUGUUCAGAUGUUAGGAAAUUUUGACUUAUUUAUUAUCUAUGUUUGGGAAUUAUAUUUUGUGAAAUUUGUUUGUAUUUGUGGUGGUUUUCACUGAAUUUGAAUUUUAUAUAGAUGUUUAGUAAAUUACUUGAGAUUUGAUGUGGAAGUUUAUCAUUAUUGCAGUCGUUGACGGAUGAUUGAGCAAUACUUGGCAAAUUUAUAUCUGUAAAUGCAAGUCCUUAUUUACAAUGGAUUGAUUGUUGGCAUGACUGUUGUUGUUCUUUAUUCGUUGCCUACAAGCUUUUUAUAGAAGAUG
rnacentral:lncRNA from 1 species